GGAGCUGUGACUCAGUGGUAGAGCAUCUGCUUGUCGUGCAGAAGGCCCCAGGUUCAAUUCCUGGCAACUUCA